rnacentral:tRNA from 4 species
GCGGGAAUAGCUCAGCGGUAGAGCACUACCUUGCCAAGGUAGGGGUCGCGGGUUCAAAUCCCGUUUCCCGCUCCA